ACGUUAGCGGCGGACGGGUGAGUAACACGUGGGUAACCUACCUAUAAGACUGGAAUAACUCCGGGAAACCGGGGCUAAUGCCGGAUAACAUUUAGAACCGCAUGGUUCUAAAGUGAAAGAUGGUUUUGCUAUCACUUAUAGAUGGACCCGCGCCGUAUUAGCUAGUUGGUAAGGUAACGGCUUACCAAGGCAACGAUACGUAGCCGACCUGAGAGGGUGAUCGGCCACACUGGAACUGAGACACGGUCCAGACUCCUACGGGAGGCAGCAGUAGGGAAUCUUCCGCAAUGGGCGAAAGCCUGACGGAGCAACGCCGCGUGAGUGAUGAAGGUCUUCGGAUCGUAAAACUCUGUUAUUAGGGAAGAACAAAUGUGUAAGUAACUAUGCACGUCUUGACGGUACCUAAUCAGAAAGCCACGGCUAACUACGUGCCAGCAGCCGCGGUAAUACGUAGGUGGCAAGCGUUAUCCGGAAUUAUUGGGCGUAAAGCGCGCGUAGGCGGUUUCUUAAGUCUGAUGUGAAAGCCCACGGCUCAACCGUGGAGGGUCAUUGGAAACUGGGAAACUUGAGUGCAGAAGAGGAAAGUGGAAUUCCAUGUGUAGCGGUGAAAUGCGCAGAGAUAUGGAGGAACACCAGUGGCGAAGGCGACUUUCUGGUCUGUAACUGAC
rnacentral:rRNA from 1 species